UGGGGAAUCUUGCGCAAUGGGCGAAAGCCUGACGCAGCGACGCCGCGUGGGUGAUGAAGGCCUUCGGGUUGUAAAGCCCUGUGGAGGGGGAAGAAUUAGUCGUGGCUAAUAUCCACGAUGAUGACGGUACCCCUUUAGCAAGCACCGGCUAACUCUGUGCCAGCAGCCGCGGUAAGACAGAGGGUGCAAACGUUGUUCGGAAUUACUGGGCGUAAAGCGCGUGUAGGCGGCUUGGCAAGUCGGGUGUGAAAGCCCUGGGCUCAACCCAGGAAGUGCACUCGAAACUGCUUCGCUCGAGUAUCGGAGAGGAAAGCGGAAUUCUCGGUGUAGAGGUGAAAUUCGUAGAUAUCGAGAGGAACACCGGUGGCGAAGGCGGCUUUCUGGACGAUUACUGACGCUGAGACGCGAAAGCGUGGGGAGCAAACA
rnacentral:rRNA from 1 species